rnacentral:rRNA from 1 species
UACGUUCCCGGGCCUUGUACACACCGCCCGUCACACCACGAGAGUUUGUAACACCCGAAGUCGGUGGGGUAACCUUUUUGGAGCCAGCCGCCUAAGGUGGGACAGAUGAUUGGGGUGAAGUCGUAACAAGGUAGCCGUAUCGGAAGGUGCGGCUGGAUCACCUCCUUUCUAUGGAGA